AAGUCGUAACAAGGUUUCCGUAGGUGAACCUGCGGAAGGAUCAUUAACACGUAUCCAAACGUUAAAACCCCCCCCGUGAACAUUCAAUGAGGAAAGCAGUUUGAUUCAGAGACCUCUGGCCCGUGAGAAAAUUGGAACAGUUACAAUUCGAGCGGUAGGUUUAUAGGCCUUGUUUCCCCAAGCAGUCAGUGUCUGAAAGCGUCAUUGAUUGUGCAAGGAUAGCGCUUCACGAUUCCUGUAGACCGUACACUCGGGCAGGAGCUAGGCCAAAGGGUCACCAUGCCCCCUUACAACCCCACAGUUUAUUGCAAAGCUCAAUGUAAUACAUUGGGUAAAAAAACUUGAACAACUGUUAACAAUGGAUAUCUUGGUUCUC
rnacentral:misc_RNA from 1 species